UUAGACGGAUACAAUUAAUUCCGUUAAGCUACACGGAGAUUAUUUUCCUUUUCUAAAAAAGAUAUGUUAUUUAUUUAUCGAAUGUAUCGAAGUCAUCUCGAAAGUCUCGAAGAAUUGUUGCCUUUAAUCCACGAUGCUGAUUGGUUCUUUCGCUGAUCAUUGAACCGCAUGCUUCGUAGUGUUUGACAGUUGUGUUUGACAGUUGUGUUUUCAAAUCAAAAUUGGUUAUAUCAAAAGUGUGUAAGUAAUAAGGUAAGUAAUAAAGAGAUAUAUUAAGUAAUAAUAUAAUCUCUCUCUCUCGGAAAUAACAAUAAUAUCUUUAAAAUUUUAUAAUCUUUUAGAAAAAAAAAAAGGAAAGGAAAUAGAUUGGUAGGAGAAAGAGAGAGUUUCGACUUUUGUAGAAAGAAGAAGCAGAAAAGGAAACAGAAGGUGAAACAGCGACUUCUAUAGAAAGAAGGAGCGGAAAAAGAGAGAGAGAGAAAGAGAGUGUAAGAAAGAAGAAAAAGAAAAGUGUUAGAGCAUUAACAGUAAAUAUUAUUAAGAUAGAGGAUAGAUAUAGACAACAUAAAAAUAUGAUUAAUAAUUUGUGUUGAGAGGGAAAGAGAGAAAGAGAGAGAGGGAGAAAAAGAGAGUGAGAGAGCGUGAGA